AAACGCGGCAGCAGCAACGAAACGGUAAAGGGAAGAAGAGAGGCACACACGGAUACCAAACCGUCGGCGUAACGCGGGCGGGACGCACACACUCCCCCCCCACACACACACACUCACCUUCCCUCACUACUUUUUGUUCUCGUGUGUCUGUGUGUGCCUGUCUGUGGGUUGGCGCUGCUGUUUAUUUUGCGACGUCGGUGGGCACUCCCGUCCUCUUCACACGGUCCCUCCCCCCUUCUUCGAGAUGCGCAUCUUCUCAUCGAGGCAGAAGGUCUACACGACCGGCACGGCCCCAGUCAACACCUCGGAGGAUGUCGGGGUGGAAGGAAAGCGGUAUCCGACCCACACGCUGGGUCGCUUCAUUGUCCAAUACCCCGCCCCAAUGCUGCUGACCCUCGUCCUACCUUUUGUUUUCUUUGUGAUUGGUGGUGCGAAACUUCAGUCGGGGCUCUCCUACUCGCUGGACGACUACCAGAUCCGCUCCACCAUCGGCGUGCGGCGCGACGCGUUGAGGGUGAACGGCGUGCUGAAUGACUGGGCUUUCUCUCUCUCUGGUGCAUACUGGCUGUCGGACAGCGUCGACUUAUCUCACCCACGGACGUAUGUGCAGGACACGCUGGAGUUGCGCGCCGUUAUCAACCUUCAAGACCUCAUGGAGUACGCAAAGAAGGUGGGCUGGUCCCCCGAAACGCGUGAUGCAUACGCCAAUCUGCUGAACCCGGACCUCUUUAAAAUCUACCGCGCAGCGGAGGAGCACGUCACGGAGCUGGACGGUUACGAGGGCGUGUGUUUCACGAACGAUCUGCGCAAUGGACAAAUCAACAGCAUCUAUCCCACGUGCACGCCUGUAUCCAGCGUGACGCAGUAUAUCUAUCCAUCUUGGAACGGGCUGGAGUGGUUCAUGAACGGCAGCGGGACUGUGUUCCAGCUAGACUACAUGCAGCGCCUCUUUGCGAACCCGAGCUACGGAUGGUUCUUCGACAACAACUUCUCGACGCUGAACCAGAGGGCGCUGCAGCUGCGCUCGCAGUAUACGUUUGCGUCGUCGUGGUCAGAGUCGAAGGCUUCGUACCGGAAUCGCAUGAAGAGGUUCCUGCCUCGUGCGAUGAACUUCGUUAACAGCGGACAGGCUGCCUCGCUGCCGUUUGUGGAGUUCUACCUCGGCGGUGGGUCGUCGCAGGACAUCUUGAUGGAGAUCGCUGGGGAGCGGGAGGGGUACAAGGUGGGCGUUGCUGCGGUGAUCUGCUUCUUGCUGAGCUGGUGGCACUGCCGGACGUUCAUUGUCGGGGUGUACACGGCUGCAGAAGCUGUGUUUGCGUACAUGGCUGCCGUUGGUCUGUACGCGCUCAUCUACCGGACGCUGCCGCUGGCGACGUACUCCGCGAUUAUCUGGGUGAUGACAUUCUGCAUGCACGGGACAUUGAGCUUCUACGACAUGUUUGUGUUCAGCGGGGUAAUGGCGACGAAGGGACGACAGAACAACCUAAGCGUGGUGCAGCGGCUGUGCUUCACGAUGCGGCGCAUCUCCGUUGGCGUGUGGAUUGCAGACGCGCUUGCGAUAAUCAUCUUCGCGGUCAACACGACCUCGCUGUUCCGCUCUGUGGAGCAGUUCAGCGUGUUCAUGAUAAUCGCGCUGCUGUGGAACAUGUACUGCAUCGCGCUGCCCACCCCUGCGCUGAUUGUGGUGCACCAUUUGUACUUCUCGAACAAGCGGCGCAACCUGCAAAAGCAGAGCGACGUGCUGAACGAUGCGCUGCUCGGGUGCCGGCGGUCUGGACACCUGGUGCGUGUGCUGGAAGCUGUGCAGGACAACAUAGCCGACUGCGAGCGUGCGUACCGGAUGGAGGAGGACCUGGCCCACCAGCGCAUCGGCGAGGACUUCGGGAUCCACAGGAAGAGAUACGGUGGCCCGCUGGACUUUGUGCGACAACAGGUGCGUGAGGGGCUCGACAAGGUUCGCGCUGCGCGGCGCGACGUCGUUGGAGCUCUACACAAGGCGCAGAAGGCAAAGGACCGCGUUGUGAAGGGCACCGACACGCGCGACGGCAUGGGGUUGCCUUCCUUCUCGUUGCAGGAUUUCCUGCAGAUCGGCGACGCGAACCCGCUUGCGGAGGAGACUGGUGUGGGCCCCGACAGGCUGCCGCUGUACUACAACCCGCGCAUGGUGCUUCCAUCGGACCUGGUCCAUAUCCCUGCGGUGUACGUAGAGCGCAGCGAGGACUGCUGGAGUGGCAUGUGCGAUGCCCUGGGGAUACACGCACGUACGAGUCACGGAGAGGUUAUCCCGCCGCGCGCGUACAGCCUGAGGAAUCAAGGCACCAGCUCUGCUGAGGCGAGUGCGUUUGCCGAUUGGUGGCGCGAGCUGGGCACGCGUCUUGGCGUGGAGACGGCCUCGAACAACCGCAGCGUUGAGCUAGUGUCGCUUGCGGUCCGAAAUGCGGUGCGCGCACAGGACCCGACAAUGGUAGUGGACCCGUGCGCAAGGGCCCGUCGCGGCACGAAGAAAGGCGGCGCUGCUGCUGCUGCUGGUGGUGGGGCUUCGCCGCGCGCGACUGGCGGCCCAUCUGGAAUGGGCCUUGGGAAGCUGCGCUACCGCUUGGCGCACCGCGCGGAUUUGCCCCGUGUGGAGUGCUGCGGGCUGUUUGGCCGUGUUGCGGACGAGACGGCUGAGCAGCGGAUGCGGAGGCUGAUGGCACGCAAAGUGAAGCGCGAUGGCUACUCGCUGUUCGAGCUCUUCGUACUGCAGUACUACCUGCCGGCGAUCCACUAUGUGCGGUAUGCGCUGCUCGCGCUGCUGCUGGUGCUAUUCAUUGUGGUGUGCAUGCUGGGCUGCCGCAUUACUGUGGCCGGACUGCCCAACACGCUGUUGGUGGAUCAAGGCAGCAUCGCAGACACGUUUGCAGCGAUGGACGACACCUUUGGCCAGCGUGGCAGCUGCACGUUCUGUGGCCCGUACUACCGAUCGCCGCAAGACUACCGUCAGGCAACAAUCACAGACAUCGCGGCAUGCUCGGCGGAUUAUGGUGAGCAGAUGAAUCUGUACGCGGAUAGCUGCGGCGUGUGCAACGGAACGGACGCGUGCGUGGACUGCGGUGGCACUGCGCACGGCGCAGCGGCACUAAAUGACUGCGGCGGGUGUGCUGUUGCUGGAUCGUCUGCUGUGGCGCCGUGCACAUGCCCUUUAACGCGCGACUGCCAGUACUGCGAGUGGGCUCUGGGCAAGGGCAACGCCGGUGGGGGGUCGUGCAGCGUGACGUGCGAUGCUAGCACGUGCGGGAGGAACGGCGAGUGCGACCAGUACACAGGGACGUGCGUCUGCGAUGCGGGCUUCACGGGAGCCGCGUGCAACGAAUGCGAGUCAUGGCUGCUGCCUGCUGCAUCGAAUCCGGGGUGCGCACUGGAGUGCAACGCGGCGAUGAACUCUGCGGCGUGCGACUGCGACGCGAGCAGUGGGCGAUGCCGGUCGUGCCCAGCGGGGACGCGCGGGUACGACUGCUCGCAGCCAUCGGUGGACUGCAGUAGUCACGGAACGUUCAACCCUGCGACGGCGACGUGUACGUGCUCGAGCGGGUGGACGGGGGCGUUCUGUAACGUGUCGAGCGUUUGCAACGGACGCGGCGUGCUGCUGUCUGCUAUGGACUCACCGACCGGGUCCGAAAUGUGCGGCUGCUUGGGGCACUGGCGCGGCGGGACGUGCCAGCUGUGCGACUGUACCAACGGCGGAAUGUGCAACGCCGUGACGGGGAAGUGCGAGUGCGUGGGUGCCUUUACGGGGCCGCGGUGCGAGACGUGCGCGGCGAACUGUACGUUGCGCGGCACGUGCCCUGACGUGUCGACGCCGGACUACGCGCUGUGGAAUGUGCGGGCAUGCAUUCCCAAUGCGUGCAGUGAGGCUGACGUACAGUCGGAGACGAUGUGCCCCGCCUGCUCACCGACACAGAUGGUACCCGUUGGCGUGUGCAAGGCGGCGUCUAAGGAGUCGUGCAUGGCCAUGCCGGAUUGCUGGUGGUAUAUGGAUGGCAACGUCGUGCCUUACUGCGGCAUGGCGCGGCAAGUGAGCGACUUCACGGCGCUCAGCUGUACUUGCCGGUACCCGAAGGUCUGGUCUGGCCCAACGUGUGGGUCUUGCCCUGCACCGGCUGGCGCGACAUGCCUGGACGACGGGACAGUGUUGGGCUGCAACAGGUUGGCGUACACAUCGCUGAGUUCCGUCGUGAGCAUCGAUAGCUGCGGCGUGUGCGGCGGUGAUGGCUUGUGCCGGGGCUGCGAUGGCGUUCCUGGCAGCGGUGCGACAUACGACGCGUGCGGCGUGUGCGGCGGCAACAACACAUGCAGUGGCACGACGGCGGUGAUGCCGAUGUACGUGGAAUAUCUGUUUGACCUCACGAAGGUGCCUCGGACCCUCAACAAUGCGGCGUGGUGCAAGGUAGUGGCUUCCAUUGCUGCCAACAUUCGGCGGUCGGACAGCACUGGAUCGCAGAUGCGGACGGUGCUGGAGGACUACCUCGCUGAUGACGCGAGCUAUGAGCUGACAUCUCUCCAAGACUUUUACAACUACGCCAAGGAGAACGGCCGGCUGAGCGAGGCGGUCUUCACGCUCAGCUACAACGGCGAGCCACUGAUGCUGCAGCAGAUACUCUACCGCGUAGAGAGCACACUCGCCACCAGCCAGAGCUCACCUUCGCGGGUGGUGGCGGCGUACUACUGGAUAUCUCGGGACAUCAUCGCCCCCUUCCGGUCACUUGCUCAAGCAAGUGGUAUCACCGUGUACUACACGUCGACCCUGUUCCAGCCGGCAGUGGCGAGGGUUGGCGCGCUGCAAAGCCUGUGGUUCGCGGUCGGCAUCGGUCUGGCGGUGACGUUCGUGCUCCUGCUCACGUACUACGUGAGCCUGACGACGGCGGUGGCGGCGACGAUAGUGGCUGCCAUUGUGUGCUUCGGGUCGCUGACGGUGUGCGCGGUCUUCGACUGGGAGAUGGACGCUGUGCUUCAGGUGUGCAUCAGCUGCACUGUACCGAUAAGCGUGGAGUACGUGGUGCACUUCUGCAGCGGGUACUUCGACUACCUGCAGACGACGACGUCACACCUUUUUGCGCGCGACGUGACGCGGCGGACUGCUGUGCAGGGUGCGUUGCUGCGGUCUGCACCUGCUGUGUGCACGUCUGCCGUCUGCGUGAUCGUUGUGUCGGCCAUGUUCGGCGUGUCGAGCCUGGUGCCAUUACGGCGCGCGGGCCAGGUGAGCAUCACACUGCACCUGCUGCUGCUUCUUGCCGGUGUGCUCUUCACUGGCGCUGUUGCCGCGCUGGGGCCGAUGAACGUGUACCAGCACUGGACGCUCUCCGCCGCAAUCUGCAUUGUCUGUGCUGCGCUUGCCGCGCUUGCGGUGCUGAUCAUGUACGGCGUGCAUGGAGUGCUCGGGCCGCACGGCAACAUGAUUCUGACGCGCUGAGGUGCGCGACACGGCGGAUUGUAGGUGACAUGAAGGCGGCGGCGGCGAAAGAGAAAAGCGACAGAGAUGUUCCAGCACGACUCCUUGGCCAGGGCCUUCUACUGUCGCGCAUGUUGGUUAAGCGCCGCCCAUGCCGUUUUGCCUCUUGCUGAUGUUCAGCACCUGCGCCUGUCGGUUUCGCUACCACUGCGUUGUCCUCGUCGGCGUGCCCACGCAUUGUAGCACUGCCGCCACCUCGCCAACCUCAACGGAGUGGCUGAUGGCAUUGUUGUGUGCGCGGGUGCGCGCAUUAGCAACACAUUCGCCCUCACUCGCCGCCUUUACUAUGCCAUCCUUUGACGAUCCUCCUCACCGCUCCUUCCACUGCACCGGUUUCGCCUGCGCACGCCUUCUGGCUUUGCAG
rnacentral:misc_RNA from 1 species